AUGACUUUGAUCUGCGUCCUCAUCUGGACUCUCCUCUGCUGCUGCUUCACAGAGUCCAGAGGACAGGUCACAGUGACUCAGCCUGGAGCAGUGAGCUCUGCUGUGGGAGGAACUGUGAACAUCAACUGCAAAACGAGUCACAGGGUAGAUGAUGGAGAAGAUCAGUUCUGGUACCAGCACAGAGAUGGAGAACGUCCUAAACUGCUCACUAGCUAUGGAAAUCGCAAAGUCUCAGGGAUUCCAGACCGUUUCACAAGCAGUGGAUCAAACUCUGACUUCACUCUGACCAUCAGUGGAGUCCAGGCUGAAGAUGCAGCAGUUUAUUACUGUCAGGGUGAAUUCAAUGUUAACAGUCAGUGGGUGUUCACACAGUGAAUAACAGUCGUACAAAAACCUCCCUCAGUCAGACUGAACAGAAACUGAACUGACUGCUGCAGCUGGAAGAUACUGCAGAGACUGAUACAGUUCACUGAGGACACACACAGACACACACACACACACACACACACACACACAAACAUAAAUUGUAUUUUUUUAUGAACUCCUUAAAUUUUGUCAGGAAACAAUUUAUGCUUCGUGAAGUAUGUAGAAUAAUGUUUUGUCCUCACUGAGUGUUGUCCUCGUGAACGUAGACUCAGCUAUACAGACAGAUAAACACUCUCUUAAUCAAAAUCCAAGGAACAGGCCGAUGUGUUGAGUUGAAUGAUUUAAUAAGGAAAAAGUGUGAAAC